rnacentral:rRNA from 1 species
GUAGGGAAUAUUGGGCAAUGGAUGCAAGUCUGACCCAGCCAUGCCGCGUGGAGGAAGAAGGUCCUCUGGAUUGUAAACUCCUUUUUUGGGGGAAGAAUAGUUCUCUUGCGAGGGAAUGUGACGGUACCCUAAGAAUAAGCCACGGCUAACUACGUGCCAGCAGCCGCGGUAAUACGUAGGUGGCAAGCGUUGUCCGGAUGUAUUGGGUUUAAAGGGUGCGUAGGUGGUUUGAUAAGUCAGUGGUGAAAGCUGGUUGCUCAACAAUCAAGUUGCCAUUGAUACUGUCGGACUUGAGAGAAGUGGAGGUUCAUGGAAUGGAUGGUGUAGCGGUGAAAUGCAUAGAUAUCAUCCAGAACGUCGAUUGCGAAGGCAGUGGGCUGUACUUUAUCUGACACUGAGGCACGAAAGUGUGGGGAUCAAACAGGAUUAGAAACCCGAGUAGUCC